rnacentral:lncRNA from 1 species
UGGUGCUGAGGCAAAUACGCACGAGCGCAUCACAGCCUUACGGCAACACCCCGCUCGUGCAUGCGCCCGCAACGCUGCGCACUACGUUUAUUACCGAUUUUACAAGACACAACAACGACUUGGUGCGAGGGCUCAUUUCUCGAUUUUAUUAAUUUUUUUUAAAUAACUCCCCUCGUUGGCUCGAGCACUUGUGCACCGGGCGAUUGAAAGAUGUACGGAGCGCGCUGAUGGCUGAGCGUGAAUAACGAUCUGGAGACAUCCAUGACAUUGGACUCUGAAAAGGUCUGCGGAUAACAAUGAGCACCGCAUUUCACCAGCAGGCUGUUCACAGUUCCCUGGAACAGCAGAAGGGACAGCGGCAGAGCGGCCCCAUCCCGUGUCAAAACUGUGGCAAGCCCUGCAAAGGCGAGGUGCUCCGGGUGCAGAACAAACACUUCCACAUCAAGUGCUUUGUCUGCAAAGGUAACACGUCAGUUAUGACCAACUCCAUUUAUAUGUGCUGUUAUUGUGUGGCAGUUUUCAGACAGUUCUUUAAUGGCUUUUACACUAUAGGUAUCUUGAAAGGUGCUUUGAAUGUACAUCUUCUAGAACAUGAAAACAAAACAAAUGUGAUGAAAAUGUCACAGUAUUUUGUUGUACAGCGUGG